GGAGGUGGCAAGCGUUGUUCGGAAUUACUGGGCGUAAAGGGCGCGCAGGCGGUUCGUCAAGUCCCGUGUGAAAUCCCCCGGCUCAACUGGGGAACUGCGCGGGAAACUAGCGGACUUGAGUUCGGGAGAGGAAAGCGGAAUUCCGGGUGUAGCGGUGAAAUGCGCAGAUAUCCGGAGGAACACCAGUGGCGAAGGCGGCUUUCUGGACCGACACUGACGCUGAGGCGCGAAAGCUAGGGGAGCGAACGGGAUUAGAUACCCCGGGUAGUCCUAGCCCUAAACGAUGAGCACUGGGUGUAGGGGGUAUGAACCCCCCCCCCUGUGCCGAAGCUAACGCAUUAAGUGCUCGCCUGGGGAGUACGGCCGCAAGGCUG
rnacentral:rRNA from 1 species